CCUACGGGAGGCAGCAGUGGGGAAUAUUGCACACUGGGCGCAAGCCUGAUGCAGCGACGCCGCGUGCGGGAUGGAGGCCUUCGGGUUGUCAACCGCUUUUGUUCAAGGGCACGGCACGGUCUUUGGCCGUGUUGAGUGGAUUGUUCGAAUAAGCACCGGCUGACUACGUGCCAGCAGCCGCGGGAAUACGUAGGGUGCAAGCGUUAUCCGGAUUUAUUGGGCGGAAAGUGUUCGUAGGCGGUUGUUCGCUUCCGGUGUGAAAGUCCAUCGCUUAACGGGGGAGCCGCGCCGGGUCAGGGCGGGCUUGAGUGCGGUAGGGGAGACUGGAAUGCCCGGUGUAACGGUGGAAUGUGUAGAUAUCGGGAAGAACACCAAGGGCGAAGGCAGGUCUCUGGGCCGUUACUGACGCUGAGGAGCGAAAGCGUGGGGAGCGAACAGGAUUAGAUACCCGAGGAGUC
rnacentral:rRNA from 1 species